AGUGAACGCUGGCGGUAGGCCUAACACAUGCAAGUCGAACGGCAGCACAGUAAGAGCUUGCUCUUACGGGUGGCGAGUGGCGGACGGGUGAGGAAUACAUCGGAAUCUACUUUUUCGUGGGGGAUAACGUAGGGAAACUUACGCUAAUACCGCAUACGACCUACGGGUGAAAGCAGGGGAUCUUCGGACCUUGCGCGAUUGAACGAGCCGAUGUCGGAUUAGCUAGUUGGCGGGGUAAAGGCCCACCAAGGCGACGAUCCGUAGCUGGUCUGAGAGGAUGAUCAGCCACACUGGAACUGAGACACGGUCCAGACUCCUAAGGGAGGCAGCAGUGGGGAAUAUUGGACAAUGGGCGCAAGCCUGAUCCAGCCAUACCGCGUGGGUGAAGAAGGCCUUCGGGUUGUAAAGCCCUUUUGUUGGGAAAGAAAAGCAGCAGGUUAAUACCCCGCUGUUCUGACGGUACCCAAAGAAUAAGCACCGGCUAACUUCGUG
rnacentral:rRNA from 1 species